rnacentral:rRNA from 1 species
CUACGGGAGGCUCCAGUGGGGAAUAUUGGACAAUGGGGGAAACCCUGAUCCAGCAAUGCCGCGUGUGUGAAGAAGGCCUGCGGGUUGUAAAGCACUUUCGGUUGGGAGGACUGCUUCUAGCACUAAUAUUGUUGGAAGUUGACGUUACCUUCAGAAGAAGCACCGGCUAACUCCGUGCCAGCAGCCGCGGUAGAUACGGAGGGUGCAAGCGUUAAUCGGAAUUACUUGGCGUAAAGCGCGCGUAGGCGGCUAGAUCAGUCGGGUGUGAAAGCCCCGGGCUUAACCUGGGAACUGCAUCCGAUACUGGCUAGCUUGAGUACAGGAGAGGAGAGUGGAAUUCCACAUGUAGCGGUGAAAUGCGUAGAUAUGUGGAGGAACACCAAUGGCGAAGGCAGCUCUCUGGCCUGAUACUGACGCUGAGGUGCGAAAGCGUGGGGAGCAAACAGGAUUAGAUACCCCAGUAGUC